rnacentral:miRNA from 1 species
AGACGUUAGGUCACCAGAUCGAGCCGCAUGGACAACACGGCGCCCAAGACUAGGGCGCCAAAGAGUAGGGCUGCCACUCAGGGCCAUUUCAGGGGUGGGCUUCAUGCUGGGGCUUCGUCUG